CGCAGCGCUGCCAACACACUGGUGGGGCAAACACGUGUUAUCAGUUUAUUUACAUUGGCGUACCUUGAGUGACAUACUGGAGUAGAGAGAGAGAGUGUGUGUGUGUGUUAUUAUUGCCAAUUGCACGUAAGAUAGGAAGGUGGCAAGCAUCACUGGUGAACACAGGUGAAGAUAAGCAAAAUGGCGACCUCAGAAGACAAUCCUCACCUCACCCUUCGUCCUGACCUCCCCCCUGACCUCCCCCCUGACCUCUCCACUGACCUCGGCCCUGACCUUGAACUUGGACGCCAUUACGUGAAGGGGCAACAGGUCAACGUCACGGAGGACCUGCGUCACGAGUUCAAAGGUCACAGGAGCAUCAGUGUGUUUGACCUGCCCUCCCGCUGGUCACGUGACGCCCAAGCCAGGACUAGGAGUGCUGUAUCCGCGAGUGUGGGCGGCAUGAUGAACACGGGAGUGGGCGGGACAGUGUAUUUGGGCGUGAGUGACGAGGGAAGGGUGGUAGGCCUGCCUCUGACGGGGUGAGCGGCGGUGGUGGUGAUAGUGGUGCCACCAGCAGCAGCACAUCACAGCCUCCCUAGCGUGGACACUAGAUCGCUUCACGCCGCCUGUCGGAGAGCACAGAUACCACACCCUCUUCGUGCCAGUCCUGUCCAGACACUGCCGCGCUACACACACUGCUGGGCGCCAGGUCUCCCCCUCCUCAGCAGCGAUGGGAAGGGAGCGGGAGGGGGUCGGGAGGGGAGCAGCACCACCCCACAGAGUCGCCACCCCCAACAGGUGCUGGUGUGACGAGGAGGCUGCAAGACAGGCCUCGCCCCUCCAUGAGUGGGUAGUGGAGAUACACCUACGCCCCUGGGACCCCCACACCCAGGAGGGGACCGCCACCCCCCACCGUGACUGCACCCCGCCCCCCGUGCCGCCCCUCCCCCCUCUACACCUGACGGAGGCCAAUGUUUGUUACUACCGCCACGGGUCACGGCAGGUCACGCUCUGUCUGGACACCGCAAGACGCCUGCUCGUCCACCGCACAGACCGCCACUACACCCCGCAGCUGGCGUCACUCAGGGCCCACCUCCACACGCUGCAUCGACUCGCCGUGGAUAGGGGGCUGCUUGUAAAGGCUGGCGAGGCGAGAGGAGAGAAAGGCCUUAGAGGAGAGUUGAGGGAAGGUGUUGCAGGAGGAAAGGGUAUUAUAGGAGGGAGAGAAAGUGAUAGUUGUGUUAGAAAUGAAAGAAUGGGAUUAAUUGAUUGAUUAGUUAGUGGAAAGGGUGUUAAUUAAAGAGGAAAGAGGAUUAUAGGAGAAUUGAGAGGUGUUAGAGGUGCUAGAAGGAAGGAAAGAAUAGGACUGGACGAUUAAAAGAAGGUAGUUAAGUAGUUUUAUGGUAGAAGGAAGGGGAGAAUGAAAAUGGUUGAUUAGUAAAAGGUUAGUGAAUGAAAUGGAGAUUUAUAAGAGAGAAGGAAGGUUUUAGACACGGUAGAAAGAAGGAAAGAAUGGCACUGAACGAUUAAAAGAAGGUAGUUAAGUAGUAUUAUGGUAUAAGGAAGGAAAGAAUGAAAUUGGUUGAUUAGUAAAGGGUUAGUGAAUGGAAAGGAGAGUUAUAGGAGAGAAGGAAGGUUUCAGACACGGUAGGACGAAGGAAAGAAUGAUUGAUUAUUAAGUUAUUGAUUGAUUAGUGUAUAAAUUAAAUGAUGUGGUGAUAGAAGGAAGGAAAGAGAACGUUGAUAAGGAAGAAAAAGAAAAAAAGGGUUGAAUGUUUUAGUGAAUGCGUAACAAAUGUAAAUAGUUUUGGUAGAAAUAUAUCAAUAGCAGUAAAUGUAAGUGGUAAAAAGGAAAUAGUGGAUACUGAAUUAAGUUAGAAAACAAUUUAAUAGGCUUCAGGCAGAUCCAGUGUGCAUAUUUUCAAGUACAAGUCAACGUAUGCGAUUUGGUGCAUGCAAUUAAAUCUACGGUAACGUCUUGUCGCAUUUCACUAACUUUUAUCGAAAUUAGUCGUCAUGGCUCAUUAGGUCCACGUAAAGAAUAAAGUGUACCGUAUUUUAGUAAAGGAAAAUAUUUAGUAUAUAUCAUUGAUCGCGUUUCUCUUUUUCUUUCAAGUUUCAUUAAUUCUACAAAGGAGGGUUGCCACUUUUCAUUUAGUGUUGUUUUUUUUUUUAUCUACUUGUACUUUUUUUUUUAAUUCUACUGGAAACAUCUGGUACAUUUCAUUAAUUUCGCUUUUCUUUCCUUUUCAAGUUUCGUUAGUUGUACAGAGAGGGUUCGCCACAAUUCAUAAAGUCUGGAGCUUUUAUUUUAUUAUUUACUUGCAUUUUUUCUUAAUUAUGUGGAGAAAUUUGAGGCUAAGAGUGUGAAUGAUGUGUGUGUGUGUGUGUGUGUGUGUGUGUGUGUGUGUGUGUGUGUGUGGUGCCAUGCCUGGACCGCCCGUGAGUGAUUCUUGACCUGGUAUAGAGACAAAUGUAAAUAUUCUGCAUCGUUUUCAGCUUUCCCUCAAACUCUUUUUAAAUCUACGGAAUAGAGUUUGCUGCAGUUCAAUAACCUUAGAUAUUAUAUUUACCCGCAUUUUUUUUAUAGUCAGCGAGAAAACUAAGUCUUAUUUUCACUGCCUUCUAAACGGUCCACCGAAAUUUUCAUAAAGUCUACGGAUAAAGCUUGUCGCAUUUCAUUAACUACAUAUAUUAUUUAUUUAUUUAUUUUAGUCUGGGGAAAAAUUCAGCCCGUUUUUCUUGAUCAAACUACUUAAUUCUGUCACCAAAGUUUGAUAAAGUACAAGAGGAAAAGUUCGUCACGUUUUGCUAACUGCAGAUGUCAUUUAUUUAUUUAGUUUAGUCUAUGGGAAAAAUUUUUUGGUGUAUUUACAGAUGUUAUUGGUGUCAUUGUUGAUGUGCUGCAUAUUGGGUGCUACUGUAGUUAUUGUUAUCAUUAUUAAUUGUGUAUCUUUAAGUGUAUUGUAACUUUCUUGUGGGUAUAUGAAUAAUUUAGAGGUUAUUAUUGUUUUUGUCUUUUUUUUCUCUUGCCAAACACUCAUCUUUUUUUUCAUUUUUUUUUUUACUUAAUUCGUCUUUUCUUCUCUUUUUCCUCUUCAUACUUUCUUCACUGUAUUCCUCUUCCUCUUAAACUCUCAUCUUUGUUUUCCUUCAUUUCUCUCCUCAGUUCACCUCUUCUUCCCUUUUCUGUCUCCAUACAUCUCUCUCUCUCUCUCUUUAUCCCCUAUAUUCUUCCUACCAAAUCCUCACAUCUUUACUAUUUCUCUUUUCUUAAUUUCUCUACUUCUUCCCUUUUCUCUUUCUACUACCCUUUCCUUUCCCAUCCUCCUGUUCAGUUUCCUUCUUAUUCUGCUCCUCGUCUUCCUCCUCCUCCUCUCCCUCCAGCCACCACAGGUAACAUAGGUUAAUUAAAACACACCUGUACA